rnacentral:rRNA from 1 species
GACAGAGGGUGCAAACGUUGCUCGGAUUUACUGGGCGUAAAGCGCGUGUAGGCGGCUUCGCGAGUCCGAUGUGAAAGCCCAGGGCUCAACCCUGGAAGGGCAUUGGAUACUACGAAGCUGGAGGCUUGUAGAGGAGAGCGGAAUUCCCGGUGUAGAGGUGAAAUUCGUAGAUAUCGGGAGGAACACCAGUGGCGAAGGCGGCUCUCUGGACAAGUACUGACGCUGAGACGCGAAAGCGUGGGUAGCAAACAGG